CCGGGGGGGCUCCGGGGCCGCUGGCGGCUGGGUCGUCGCGGCAAACUUCGGCCGAGGCAGCCGGAUUUCAAUUCAACUAAGCAACAAUUUCAGCACUGUUUGAUGUGGGGUAGGUGCCUACCAAGAACCAUAAGUGAAGUGAAUGACACAAUGCUGACAGAUAGGACUACCAAAAAUUAUAAAACUUGGCCAAAACCCACUUCUGUCCUGGGUCCAGAAGAUUUGUCUUUGGAUGUUAACUGCAGUAAGAAAUUCGGUGUCACUUUGUGCUGGCCUCCUGAACAGGGUAAAAUUUACCACUCUGACAAUUCUAGCCAAGGGUAUUGCGCCUUUUAUUAUUUUUUUUUUAAUUAGGACAAAAUGUACCUUUAAAAUAAAAAAGGGUUUUUUUAUAUAUCUCUGAAAGUUCUAUUUAGAGCCAUGGCUCAGUAUUUACCUGAGACAUUUGCAUACCUGAAAGUGUGUCAUGUGAUGAUCUCUGCAAAUGAAAUGUACUGUUGAUUUAGUUUAUUAUCCCAAAAGAUGAUAUCAUAGUUAAGGUUUGUAUGCUGUACAUCAGAAGGAAAAUACAGAAGGGUUGAAUUGAAAUAGAUUUUAAUACUGCAAAGUAUACUGCUCAAGUUAAUGAAAGUCAGACAUACAUUUGGCUGCUGUUGCUAACUGAAUAAUACAAGUAAUUACAGAAGCAUCUAUUCAAUUCCUGAUGAACAUGAGUAAUUUCCAUUAUCUUAAAAUGUGUAGGAGUUAUGAAUUAGAGGUACAGUGAUUGCCCAACACUUUUUCAUUAUUAUAUCUUGUUGUCAGUUGCUUAUACAUUUGCCAAAGUUUAAUGCAGCAAGCUGAAAUUUCCUAUACUGGAUAUCAGCCUCCAGCUGACUUCAUUUGUUUCAUUUUAUUUUUGUUUUGCAAGUUUUAUCAAGAAUGCUGCAUCUGUUUCCAAGAGCAAGGUUAGGAGAAAGUAUGUUAUUUUGUCUGUAGUAAUACAAAUUCCCUCAAAAUUCCAAAUUCCCUUCCUUCCAAAGAAGAUGUUUUACCUCCAUGCAUGGAAGGAAAGCACAAAAAAAUUGGCAAAAUAAGUCAACCAAACACCAGAAAUUUUCUUUUCAACACAUUUGGGAAAUUAUUCCCAGCUUUGGACCAUGUCUAAGCAUUACUGUCUUUGCAGUUUGUACAUGCUCAGUAGAGACUUGUUAAAUUCUGACAUCUAAAAAUCCCAUCUAGGCCAGCUCAGAGCCAUAGAAAUCUUUCUGUGCUUGGUCUCCAAAUAAAAGGGCUGUAGAGUUCCCCUUGGCACCUGUGAGACAAGGUCUGCUGUGUGUGCCUGUGCAGCCAGGGGAAAGAGAGGGGAAUUUGGUUUACUUAUGGAGGAAUAAAGAGAGGCUCAGUGGUUGUAAGAGCUGGAGACUGAAGAAGAAGAAGAGGGGCCAUGUAGAGGGGGAGAUAUGGGGAGGGAGAAGGACAGGAGUGAGGGUAGAAGGAGAUGUUGGCACAGAGGGGAAAAUGUCAGGACAUCAGGCCCAUGGUAGGUGAUACCCAUGAGGACGGCAAGGGAGGAAAGCAGGACCUUGCAGUGCCUGGGGUGGCUGGGAGGAGAAGGGGAAGGGUACAGUCCUGACCAAGACAAGAUGAUAAUCUUAGAAUAUUCAUCAUAGAAUAACUGCGUUCUCCUCCUUGGAAUCACACUGCCAGACGUAAGGCACCAUCUUCCUUUGCUGUCAGCAAAUAGCAAAGGGAAGAUGUCUGUAAGCCCAAAUGCUCUGCAUUUAUUUAAUUAUACAAUCAGUAUAAAUAAUAGGCUUUUUAGUGAGAGAGAAUGUUGUCAGUAAGAUCCAUGCAGUACUUUGUUGCAGAAAUUUAAAGCUAUGGAGACAAUGACACGACAACUAUAAUUGAAGAUGGUAUCAAAAAGCAUUAGAUGGAAGGACAACCUUAAUUUUGAUUUUUCUCAACUUCAAGGACUUUGUUUUGUAGCUUAAAUGUUUUUAUAGCAAAAAUUUGCUUCAUGUUGUUCUCAAUAUAUAAUGCCCAACAUGUCCCACUUAACUAAUUUCAGUUGUCUGGCCCUGGAAAUCUGUACCUAUAUGAGUAAUGCUUGCACACAUGAAAAAAUCACCAGAAUUAGCUGACACCACUUAUCACCUCCUAAUUUACGAGAGUAAACAGAUCCUGAAAUACUCGCCCAUUUAAUUUACUGAACAUGCUAAAGUUAGUCCAGAUUUGUGUGUAAUUAAUGAAAGUAUUUUAAAACAGUGUCUGCUACCUCUUGCCUGCUCCUGCUUUGUUGUUCAGAUACAAAUACAUUUAAAAUAGACAUAUAUUCCAACAGCAAGUGAGCAUCUGUCUAUGUCAAGCCUUAUCACAGCUA